AGUCCUGUGACGCAGUGGCUAGCGUGUCGUUCUUAUAUUCAUUCCUAGGAAUGGGUAUGGCCCACUGAGGUUAUGCGAAAGUCGAGGGUUCGACCCCCUCCAGGACUA